UCUCCGUUGGUGAACCAGCGGAGGGAUCAUUAAUGAGUUGCAAACCUCCAACAACUCAUUGUGAACGUACUCCGUAUCGUUGCUUAGGCGGUUGGCUUCGGCCUCUGGUCCGCAUGCGGCGCGCCCGCCGGGGGACAUCUAACCCUUGUUUAUUAACGGUAUCUCUGAGUCUUUAUACAAAUAAGUCAAAACUUUCAACAACGGAUCUCUUGGUUCUG
rnacentral:misc_RNA from 1 species